UACGAGCGGCGGACGGGUGAGUAACACGUGGACAAUCUCGCCCCCCGGCCCGGGAUAGCCCAGGGAAACCUGGAUUAAUACCGGAUGAGACGGGACCUGCGAUGGUGGGAUCCGGGAAAGGCGCUACGGCGCCGCCGGGGGAUGAGUCUGCGUCCCAUUAGCUAGACGGCGGGGUAACGGCCCACCGUGGCGACGAUGGGUAGCCGGCCUGAGAGGGUGGACGGCCACAUUGGAACUGAGACACGGUCCAGACUCCUACGGGAGGCAGCAGCUAAGAAUCUUCCGCAAUGGGCGAAAGCCUGACGGAGCGAACCGCCGCGUGAACGAAGAAGGCCGUGAGGUUGUAAAGUUCUUUUCGGGAGGGGGAACAACCGUGGCAGGGAAUGGCCGCGGGAUGACGUGAAUCCCGGAAUAAGCCCCGGCUAACUACGUGCCAGCAGCCGC
rnacentral:rRNA from 1 species